rnacentral:rRNA from 1 species
UUGACCUCGAAUCAGGUAGGGAUACCCGCUGAACUUAAGCAUAUCAAUAAGCGGAGGAAAAGAAACCAACCGGGAUUACCCUAGUAACGGCGAGUGAAGCGGUAACAGCUCAAAUUUGAAAUCUGGCUCCCUGCGGAGUCCGAGUUGUAAUUUGUAGAAGAUGCUUUGGGUGCUUGGCCCGGCCUAAGUUCCUUGGAACAGGACGUCGUAGAGGGUGAGAAUCCCGUAUGCGGCCAGUGUCGGCGCCCGUGUAAAGCUCUUUCGACGAGUCGAGUUGUUUGGGAAUGCAGCUCAAAAUGGGUGGUAAAUUUCAUCUAAAGCUAAAUAUGGGCCAGAGACCGAUAGCGCACAAGUAGAGUGAUCGAAAGAUGAAAAGCACUUUGGAAAGAGAGUUAAACAGUACGUGAAAUUGUUGAAAGGGAAGCGCUUGCAACCAGACUUGGGCGUCGCUGAUCAUCCAAAGACACUCUUUGGUGCACUCGACGACGCACAGGCCAGCAUCGGUUGGAGUGGUGGGAGAAAGGUUGCCGGAACGUGGCUCUUUUCGGAGAGUGUUAUAGCCGGCGACGCAAUACCGCCUACCCCGACCGAGGACCGCGCUUCGGCUAGGAUGCUGGCGUAAUGGUUGUAAGCGACCCGUCUUGAAACACGGACCAAGGAGUCUAACAUCUAUGCGAGUGUUUGGGUGUGAAACCCAUGCGCGGAAUGAAAGUGAACGUAGGUGAGAACCCUUCGAGGGGGCAUCAUCGACCGAUCCUGAUGUCUUCGGAUGGAUUUGAGUAAGAGCAUAGCUGUUGGGA